AGCCUCAAGACGGGGCAUCGGCAGCAGAGGGGGCUUCAGCCUGCGGCCCCAGCAUCUGAGUCCCCAGCAUCUGAGUCCCCGGCUGCCCCACGAGUGGGGCUAUGCAGACGGACCCCAGCAGGGCCAGCUGUGGGUGUCCACACUGUUCUUGCUGCUGCUCAGGAACGUCCCUGGAGGAAGUUGGUCCAGUCCAAGGCCGUUCUCUUCAGGGUUUGAUGAACAAUCCUCAGAAGAACGGAGGGGCACCCGAGGUUUGCCUCCUGACUCCACAAGCAAUAUGCCAGCAAGUGUAUUUUUCCUCUUGAGGCUUAGCAUGUCCUUCAGGAAACUGCAGAAAAGAGUGACCUCCUAGUGAAGGUUUCUGCCUGUGAGGGACACGGUCCCUUCCUGGCACACAAAUGCCUGUGCCAGAGCAGAGGAAAAUGCCUGGACUUGAACCAAAGAGGUGUCUCUGCCUGCUGUUAGCAGCGGGCUCCUGGCAGAACGGGGAAGGGCCAAGGGCAAGAACCUGAAUCCUCAUCCUCACCCUGCGGGCCGGCAUUGCCUUUGUCUACCAGCGCCCGUCGGCCACAGCCUUCCGCCGGCUCAUCCGAGCUGCGGUGGCCCCGAGCACGGGCAGGCGGCGUGGCCUUCCCGCGUGACGGCUCCAGGCUCUCCCUUCGCUUUUCUCGUCACCACGCCUGAGCAAAACAGCGCCCCUCCCGGGGCUUCAUCCAGCUGCUGACUUGAGAGGGCACUUGAGCAGCUGCUGCUACGGGGGAGUCAGCCCGCCGGGGUUCAAAUUCCAGCUCCGCCAUUACUUGCUGGUGACCUUGGGAAAGUAACGUGCCCUCUCUGAGACUUGGUCUCCCCCUGUCUGCAGUCGUGAUAACAGUGACAGGGUUGUUAGGAGGAUUGAAUUGUGUCAUCCCUUCGAGAGCAAAGACUGUUUUAUCCACCAGUAUUUAGCCAACGGAAAGCACUAAGUAAAUAUUUAUUGAAUACAUGCAAAAUGCUUCACACGGCGUUUAGACCCUAGAAGGCUGCAGCUCUUCAACAGGCUUGCACUAGAAAAGACAAGAUCUUCUCAAAAAGGCUCAGGUCGACAGGAAAGUUUGGAUUCAAAGAUGCUAUGAACAGAGGAAGGAAAAAGUGGGAGAGCCUGCACUUUCCAAGUGAAGAGCAGCUUGCUUCAGAGAGUAGAGACCUGUGCUAGACCCUGGGGUGCAGAGGUGAAAAGAUGCAUUCUUAAGGACCUUAAAGACUCUAGAGCAGCUGUGCAAAUAGACAACUUGCGAUGCAAGGCAGCCUGAGCCAAGGGCACACAGAGAUGCAGGCAGAGACCCUCCAAAAGGGCGUGAGGCACCUGACGGCUUUGUGGAGGAAGCUUUGUGCCCUUGAAGCAGGGAGAAGCACAGGCAAAGGGCAGCCCUGCAGAGGAGACUCAUCGUGGGCCGGCAGUUUGGUGAUUUGAACAGCGGCAGUCGUUGGAAGGCACACGGUGGACUGAGGAAACAAGCAGACCAGUCCAGCAGGAUGAAAGAAUUCAUAAAUAACAGGCUAGGAGAACUCUUUGGUCUUCUUCCACAAACUGUUUUCUUGGACCAUGUCUACCCCAAGGAAGAAAGCUUUACACCUUAUUCUCUAUGGCUACCAACUGGUCAGAGGUAAUGUUUAUUAUUGGAAACACUGUUAUUUAAUCCUC